GACGAACGCUGGCGGCGUGCUUAACACAUGCAAGUCGAACGGAAAGGCCCUGCUUUUGUGGGGUGCUCGAGUGGCGAACGGGUGAGUAACACGUGGGUAACCUGCCCUUGACUUUGGGAUAACUUCAGGAAACUGGGGCUAAUACCGGAUAGGAGCUCCUGCUGCAUGGUGGGGGUUGGAAAGUUUGGGCGGUUGGGGAUGGACUCGCGGCUUAUCAGCUUGUUGGUGGGGUAGUGGCUUACCAAGGUUUUGACGGGUAGCCGGCCUGAGAGGGUGACCGGCCACAUUGGGACUAGGAUACGGCCCGGACUCCUACGGGGGGCAGCAGUGGGGAAUAUUGCACAAUGGGCGGAAGCCUGAUGCAGCAACGCCGCGUGCGGGAUGACGGCCUUCGGGUUGUAAACCGCUUUCGCCUGUGACGAAGCGUGAGUGACGGUAAUGGGUAAAGAAGCACCGGCUAACUACGUG
rnacentral:rRNA from 1 species